rnacentral:tRNA from 1 species
GCGGGGGUAGCAAAGCCUGGUCAAACGCGCAGGACUUAAGAUCCUGUCCCUGAGUGGGUUCGAGGGUUCGAAUAGUCGGCUCGGCAGGCGCGUACCGAGCGGCAACGAAAGUCCCUCCCCCCGCACCA